UACAGAGGUCCCAAGCGUUGUUCGGAUUCACUGGGCGUAAAGGGUGCGUAGGCGGUCGGGUAAGUCUGAUGUGAAAUCUCACAGCUUAACUGUGAAACUGCAUUGGAUACUAUCCGGCUAGAGGAAUGGAGGGGAGACUGGAAUACUUGGUGUAGCAGUGAAAUGCGUAGAUAUCAAGUGGAACACCAGUGGCGAAGGCGAGUCUCUGGACAUUUCCUGACGCUGAGGCACGAAAGCCAGGAGAGCAAACGGG
rnacentral:rRNA from 1 species